UCGCUCACUAGCAGGUCUCUCUCUUCUUCCUUCUCUCUAUUUAUCUAUCUAUCUAUUUAUGUGUAUGUAAUUGGCUGAUUUAUAAUUGUCGGUAUCAUCGUUAUGCAGAUCUGUACAUUACUUGAUUUAAUUAUUUAUGCCUAUACGUUUAUAUGUAUGGUAGUUGUUACUGGUGAAAUUAUUGAUGCUUUGUUGUUUUUGGCCG
rnacentral:misc_RNA from 1 species